GGUCCUGCGGCCCAAUGGAUAAGGCGCCUGACUACAAAUCAGGAGAUUUCAGGUUCGAGUCCUGGCAGGAUCG
rfam:Ciona savignyi cont_59034, whole genome shotgun sequence.